rnacentral:rRNA from 1 species
AUUUCAUGGAGAGUUUGAUCCUGGCUCAGGACGAACGCUGGCGGCGUGCCUAAUACAUGCAAGUCGAGCGGACUUUACCUUCGGGUAAAGUUAGCGG